UGAGUUCCCUGGAACGGGACGCCAGAGAGGGUGAGAGCCCCGUACGGUUGGACACCGAGCCUCUAUAUAGCUCCUUCGACGAGUCGAGUAGUUUGGGAAUGCUGCUCUAAAUGGGAGGUAAAUUUCUUCUAAAGCUAAAUACCGGCCAGAGACCGAUAGCGCACAAGUAGAGUGAUCGAAAGAUGAAAAGUACUUUGAAAAGAGGGUUAAAUAGCACGUGAAAUUGUUGAAAGGGAAGCGUUUGCGACCAGACUUUUUCCAGGCGGAUCAUCCGGUGUUCUCACCGGUGCACUUCGCCUGGUUUAGGCCAGCAUCGGUUCUCUUAGGGGGAUAAAGGCCUGGGGAACGUAGCUCCUUCGGGAGUGUUAUAGCCCCUAGCGUAAUACCCUUCGGGGGACCGAGGAACGC
rnacentral:rRNA from 1 species